rnacentral:rRNA from 1 species
GAUGAACGCUGGCGGCGUGCCUAAUACAUGCCAGUCGAGCGAACAGACGAGGAGCUUGCUCCUCUGACUUUAUCGGCGGACGGGUGCGUAACACGUGGAUAACCUACCUAUAAGACUGGGAUAACUUCGGGAAACCGGAUCUAAUACCGGAUAAUAUAUUGAACUGCAUUGUUCAAUAGUUAAAGACGGUUUUUCUUUCACUUAUAGAUUGAUCCGCGCCGCAUUAGUUAGUUGGUAAGGUAACGGCUUACCAAGGCUACGAUGCGUAGCCGACCUGAGCGGGUGGAUCGACAGACUGGAAGUGAGGAACGGCCCAGACUCCGAGAGGAGGAAGCAGUAGGGAAUCCUCCGGGAGGGGCGAAAGGGUGACAGAGCAAAGCGGCGGGAGGGAUGAAGGACUUAGGAUGGGAGAGUGAUGAAGUUAGGGAAGAAGAAAUGUGUAAGUAACUAGGAAGGUAUUGACAGUACCGAAAGAAAAAGCCACGGCUAACUACGUG